ACAGGACCCAGGGUCGGCACUACCUCCAGCCACAAACACAGCGUAUGAGGGGGAUUCAGCGGCCUCUGCCUACCUUCUUGCCCUUCUUGGUGGGCUUGGUGUUGAUCUUGGCCCUCUCCUGGAAGGUCUGCCUCAGGACGUGCCGGACCAGGGGCUCGCGGGCCAGCUGCAUGGCCACCAUGUAGCGCGUUCCGUCCAGCACCGCCUCAGCUGUACCGAACUGACUGGACCCCCCCCCCCACACAACCACGAGGAAAAGGCUCCUCUUCCUCUGCACCCGGUUCUUCUGUGAAGGCAAGACAAACCUGGAGUUGCAGAAAUAGAAGGUUCUCCUCGAUGAGGUCGAUGUCGUCAUCAUCCAGCCGGUCGUCGUAACCUAGCGAAGAGAGCCGUUGAACCCGGUUAACCCACCAGCGCUCACCUUA